UUGUGGGAAAGUUUUAUAUUAGUGUAUAUCUGUAAUAAAAAAACUGCAUUAAAAACAAAUAUGUCGUAAACCAAGGUGUAUAAUAAUACUGCAGUUUUUGUAAUAUUUCAUCACUCAUUGCCAUAUUCGAAAAAUGGCGUCAUCAGCGAAACUGGGAGAUAAACCGGAAUCCCCCGAGCUCCUUCCAAAAACCUUAGAAAAAGCCCUAAAACAGUUUAUCUAUCAUUUUUUAAAGGACAACAUACCAGAUGAUCCGCAAGCGUUUGUGGCUUAUGCAUCGGACUAUUUCUACAACAAACGCAAUCCUAAUGCGGCAAGCGCGAGGAGAUCACGAGUGAUGCUUUAUUGACAAAUAAAGGGAGCAAUGCUGCGUAAUAGCAGGAAAGCAAGAACAAAGCACUGAUGGCUAAACAAGCAAGUGUAUGCUAAAAGAGCUCUUGAGCGUUCGUCAAGACGUGAAAGAAGCAACUGGCGGCAAACACGUGCUGUGUGCCAUCAGCUGUGUGAUGAUGCGCAGACUGGACUCAAUCCAACGCGAGCGUACGCUGAGUCAUACAGCAAGAGAGGGACGAGAGAGCAAGUAUGCUCAGUGUGUGCGCCGCAUAUAUCCGCUUCAGCGGGUAUGAGUGCAGUGCAGCAGCACACGUACGUACAGCGAGAGAGGCGGUAUGG